UACGGAGGGAGCUAGCGUUAUUCGGAAUUACUGGGCGUAAAGCGCACGUAGGCGGCUUUGUAAGUAAGAGGUGAAAGCCUGGUGCUCAACACCAGAACUGCCUUUUAGACUGCAUCGCUUGAAUCAUGGAGAGGUGAGUGGAAUUCCGAGUGUAGAGGUGAAAUUCGUAGAUAUUUCGGAAGAACACCAGUGGCGAAGGCGGCUCACUGGACAUGUAUUGACGCUGAGGUGCGAAAAGCGUGGG
rnacentral:rRNA from 1 species